rnacentral:rRNA from 1 species
AGUAGUCACGUAGUUUGAUCCGUGGCUCAGAACGACGCUGGCGGCAUGCCUAACACAUGCAAGUCGAACGAGACCUUCGGGUCUAGUGGCGCACGGGUGCGUAACACGUGGGAAUUUGCCUCGGGGUAUGGAAUAACUCAGGGAAACUUGAGCUAAUACCAUAUAAUGUCUUCGGACCAAAGAUUUAUCGCCCUGAGAUAAGCCCGCGUAGGAUUAGCUAGUUGGUGGGGUAAAGGCUCACCAAGGCGACGAUCCUUAGCUGGUCCGAGAGGAUGAUCAGCCACACUGGGACUGAGACACGGCCCAGACUCCUACGGGAGGCAGCAGUGGGGGAAUAUUGGACAAUGGGCGAAAGCCUGAUCCAGCAAUGCCGCGUGAGUGAUGAAGGCCUUCGGGUUGUAAAGCUCUUUUACUCGGGACGAUAAUGACGGUACCGAGAGAAUAAGCCCCGGCUAACUCCGUG